rnacentral:lncRNA from 1 species
AUAAAAAUAAUGCAUUGUAUGCCGGAAGGGAUAAAUCUGGGGCUGAGUACAAGCAAAACAAGACCAAAGGAAGCUACCUGAGCAGGUAUUCCAGAUACUCAUGUCAUACACCAAGGUUGUACCAGUGCCCCUUUCUCUGUGACACAUCCAUCCACUGGAAACUUUCGUACAACUAGCUGAAAGAAGAGAAACAUCCUAUUUCAUGUCACUGGAGCCCUAAUGAUCGCAGCCAUUUCAGGAAAUGCCAUCAAUUACAGUGAGGAGCUCAUUCAGAAGUGAAAGAUGAGUUCCAUUCUCUGUUACUUAGAGGAACACAAUUAUUUCUGGAAAGAGUAUUACACUCAGUAUUCUGCAUUUCAUAUGGCAUUUCAAAGUCCUGAGAAUGACUCUCCGUAGUCUUCUAUGUACUAAUUAAACAUGAACAUGUGGUAAACAACAUGGACUAUUCCAGUGGACAGAAAGCGUCAAGUUAAAAUGUUUAAGUGCCCCAUAUUUUUCUAAGUAUUCUUAUCCAGUUGGUCUGACUGGUCAUUAUCUGUUUUGUAAAACUUCCCAAACAACUCAUCAAUAUUUAAAUAGCUAUCCAAAUUAUAAACUUCAAAUAGCAGAAUCCAAAUGUCAUUUAUGCAUAAUUCAAAAGAACUUUGCUGAAAACAAUCUUUGGAUUACAAUUGCUCUCUAAUCCACCUCUUGAAUUUCUACAUAAGAAUUCAAUGCCAAUGCAAUUCAAAUCAAUUCAUUCAUGGUUGAUGUUAAAACUUCCUUUAAGAGGAUAGUAUGGCAGAAACAAAACUGAAUUUGAA